AUGUGUUUGUCUAUAUGUGGCCCUGUGACUGACUGGCAUCCUGUCCAGGGUGUACCCCGCCUCACGUCCUAUGACUGCUGGGAUAGGCUCCAGCCCCCAUGUGACCCUUAAUUGGAUUAAGCGGGUGAAGAUCAGUGAGUGAGAUGCUGUCUGUUGACAAGUUAGAGAU